rnacentral:rRNA from 1 species
AACGAACGCUGGCGGCAGGCCUAACACAUGCAAGUCGAACGCCCCGCAAGGGGAGUGGCGCACGGGUGAGUAACGCGUGGGAAUAUGCCCUUCGGUUCGGAAUAACACAGGGAAACUUGUGCUAAUACCGGAUACGAUCUACGGAUGAAAGAUUUAUCGCCGAGGGAGUAGCCCGCGUAGGAUUAGAUGGUUGGUGAGGUAAUGGCUCACCAAGUCGACGAUCGUUAACUGGUCUGAGAGGAUGAUCAGUCAGACUGGAACUGAGACACGGUCCAGACUCCUACGGGAGGCAGCAGUGAGGAAUCUUCCACAAUGGGCGAAAGCCUGAUGGAGCAACGCCGCGUGCAGGAUGAAGGCCUUCGGGUCGUAAACUGCUUUUAUGAGAGAAGAAUAUGACGGUAACUCAUGAAUAAGCACCGGCUAACUACGUGCCAGCAGCCGCCGUAA